GGGGGCGACACGGCUUCGACGUGUGCCUCUGAAGCUGAGGAAGCGUGCCGAGGAUCGGGGGACCUCGUUAAUCCCCGCCCGAAACCAUCAACUGCCAACAACGACUUGGCUCUGGCAGCGUAAACAAACGCUGUCCGUCCCUGCAGGAGCCCGCCCGAGGCGACUGUCGCGGACGACGCAAAUUCGGGCUGGUCGCCGAAGUUUGUCGCAACCGAGGCGGUGAGAAUAACGGCGGAAGCCGAGCGACUGGGCCUCUGACCGGCUGUUCGCGGGCCGGCACCGGGGCGAGACCAAUUCGCGAACUACGCACGUAGACGCCGAAGCCGACGAGCUCACGGACGCGGGUUCGAUUCCCGCCGCCUCCAUCA
rnacentral:tmRNA from 1 species